UCAUCAAAACUUAGACUUGACAAUCCAUUGAAAUCACCAACGAAAAAUCCGUCGGUAAUUAGUGUCAGACGAAAAAAUCUGCAAGUAAAGUGUUUCUAGCUCCAUUUAUACCGUCAACUACAGGACGAGGAUAAAUCUGACGGUAAUUAACAUUUUCUUGUAGUGGAGGAGUGAAAGGGGCGAAAUGGACUAUAAUAGGGUUGGGGAGGGCUCGAUGGGAAGGGACUUCUCCCUCUAAGACGGGCCGUGCGAAUAGCUUUUGGUUCUAACUCAACCAUUGAUGAGCGUAAUCACUGGGUAUAUUGUCGAUCUCGAUUGAUGGAUGCUAUAAACGGCUGCAGUGACACCGACAACAUCUGUGAAGAGGAAGAAAGGAUUUUCUUGAUUACUCAAAAUGCCAGUAUAUGCCAAGCAGAAAUGGAAGCUGGUCCGUUCGAAGCGCGGAGGCUGGCGAUAGAAGCCUUGAAGGCGAAGGUUACCAAGUUCCAUUGCUGUUUUCUACCAAAAACGAUCCCUCAAAACAGUUUAUAGAGGCAUUGCGGUGGCCAUGGUGGAAACCAUUAUGGCGAGUUGUCGAUUGAAAUGGAAGAUGUCGAAUAAGGGGUUGAAAAGUGGGCCAAACACAGCAAAAGUCCUUUAAUUCCAAAUGUUUGCU